rnacentral:rRNA from 1 species
AUACGGAGGGCGCAAGCGUUACUCGGAAUCACUGGGCGUAAAGCGCGCGCAGGCGGUCUUUUAAGUUGGAUGUGAAAGCCUACGGCUCAACCGUAGAACUGCAUCCAAAACUAUUAGACUAGAGUGUGGGAGAGGAAGAUGGAAUUAGUUGUGUAGGGGUAAAAUCCGUAGAGAUAACUAGGAAUACCAAAAGCGAAGGCAAUCUUUUGGAACACUACUGACGCUGAGGCGCGAAAGCGUGGGGAGCAAACAGGAUUAGAUACCCGAGUAGUCC